CGCGGGAUGGAGCAGUUGGUAGCUCGUCGGGCUCAGGUCGAAGGUCGUAGUUUUUAUCAAGUCCUACUCCCACAACCA
rnacentral:tRNA from 1 species